UACGAAGGGGGCUAGCGUUGUUCGGAAUUACUGGGCGUAAAGGGCGCGUAGGCGGCCUGCUAAGUCGGACGUGAAAUCCCUCGGCUCAACCGAGGAACUGCGUCCGAUACUGGUGGGCUUGAAUCCGGGAGAGGGAUGUGGAAUUCCAGGUGUAGCGGUGAAAUGCGUAGAUAUCUGGAGGAACACCGGUGGCGAAGGCGGCAUCCUGGACCGGUAUUGACGCUGAGGCGCGAAAGCUAGGGGAGCAAACGGGG
rnacentral:rRNA from 1 species